rnacentral:misc_RNA from 1 species
ACUGUAAACAGCAGAUGAUUCGAGAAAUAAAUGUAGCGGAAA